rnacentral:lncRNA from 1 species
AAGAAGUAAAUGACUAAAAAUGAAUUAUUGAAAAUCAUAAACUACCGCUAAGGUGUUUGGGCACCAACAAAAAACAAAUGGGGUUCAUAAUCUAUUCCCUUAACAUACACUCUUUCCAACAUACUUAGAGCCCAACAUGUAGGUAGGAGUGUACUCAAGCUGAGCUUGAUGAAUCAGAUCUGACUUUUGUGCCUAGGGUUCGACAUUAAGCACGAUUCUUCAUUACUUGAUUGAACAUGAGUUCAAGUUGAGAAGAAAGCAAACCAAGCCUAUUUCAAUCGAACCGAUAACCAUAAAUCAAUCCAAAAUUGAUUGAGAUUGCAUCAAGCUCAACUAGAGAUUGAUCCAAACUCAACUAAAGCUCGAAUAAAAUCUAGGUUCAGGUCUGAAUGAAAGUUUGACCUGUGGUACAGAAAAUCCUGCCUGCCUUUUCAAUCACUUGAACUGCAAUCAUAAAAUUGAUGAUGAUCAUAAAAAUAAACACUGUUUGCAUAAGGAGAAAAAAUAAACUAAUAAAAACACGAUCGAAUCACCUCAUCAAACUAAUCCUACUCGUAA